rnacentral:rRNA from 1 species
AUUGAACGCUAGCGGGAUGCCUUACACAUGCAAGUCGAACGGAGUGGCGAACGGGUGAGUAAUGUAUCGGAACGUGCCCAGUAGCGGGGGAUAACUACGCGAAAGCGUAGCUAAUACCGCAUACUCUUGGAGCGGCCGAUAUCGGAUUGGCUGGUGGGUGGGGUAACGGCUCACCAAGGGGACGAUCCGUAGCUGGUUGGAGAGGACGACAAGCCACACUGGGACUGGGAAACGGCCCAGACUCCUACGGGAGGAGGCAGUGGGGAAUUGUGGCCAAUGGGGGAAAGCCGGAUCCAGCCAUCCCGCGUGGGCGAUGAAGGCCUUCGGGUUGUAAAGCACUUUUGGCAGGAAAGCGGUACCUGAAGAAUAAGCACCGGCUAACUACGUGCCAGCAGCCGCGGUAAUAC